CAGAGUUCGUGCCCUCACGGGUAGAUCUCCCACCCUGUGUUAUUAUACCUUUGUUGCUUUGGCGGGCCGCCCUCGGCUACCGGCCCCGGCUGGUACGCGCCCGCCGGAGGACCAACCAAAACUCUUUUGUAUGUCCCCUCGCGGACUUUUAUAAUUCUGAACCAUCUCGGCGCCCCUAGCGGGCGUUUCGAAAAUGAAUCA
rnacentral:misc_RNA from 1 species